rnacentral:rRNA from 1 species
GCACCGCAACGGGAGGAGCGUGCGGUUUAAUUGGAUUCAACACCGGAAAACUCACCAAGGGCGACUGUUACAUGAAAGCCAGGCUAAUGACCUUGCUAGAUUUUCAGAGAGGUGGUGCAUGGCCGUCGUCAGUUCGUACCGUAAGGCGUUCUCUUAAGUGAGAUAACGAACGAGACCCUCACUGAUAAUUGCUACUUCACCCUCCGGGGUGGAGGCACAUUAUUGGGACCGCUGACGCUAAGUCAGAGGAAGGAGAGGUCAACGGUAGGUCAGUAUGCCCCGAAUCUCUUGGGCUACACGCGCGCUACAAAGGGCGGGACAAUGGGCUCCGACGCCGAAAGGCGAAGGUAAUCUCGAAACCCGUCCAUAGUUCGGAUUGAGGGUUGUAACUCACCCUCAUGAAGCUGGAUUCCGUAGUAAUCGCGAAUCAACAACUCGCGGUGAAUAUGCCCCUGCUCCUUGCACACACCGCCCGUCAAACCAUCCGAGUUGGGUUUCAGUGAGGUUGCCUCUAAUUAGGGUAUUCGAACUGAGAUUUAGCAAGGAAGGUUAAGUCGUAACAAGGUAUCU